AACGAACGCUGGCGGCAUGCCUAACACAUGCAAGUCGAACGAGAUCUUCGGGUCUAGAGGCGCACGGGUGCGUAACGCGUGGGAAUCUGCCCUUUGGUUCGGAAUAACAGUUGGAAACGACUGCUAAUACCGGAUGAUGACGAAAGUCCAAAGAUUUAUCGCCAGAGGAUGAGCCCGCGUAGGAUUAGCUAGUUGGUGUGGUAAAGGCGCACCAAGGCGACGAUCCUUAGCUGGUCUGAGAGGAUGAUCAGCCACACUGGGACUGAGACACGGCCCAGACUCCUACGGGAGGCAGCAGUGGGGAAUAUUGGACAAUGGGCGAAAGCUUGAUCCAGCAAUGCCGCGUGAGUGAUGAAGGCCUUAGGGUUGUAAAGCUCUUUUACCCGAGAUGAUAAUGACAGUACCGGGAGAAUAAGCUCCGGCUAACUCCGUGCCAGCCGCCGCGGUAACAC
rnacentral:rRNA from 1 species